CUGACGGUUCAUGCGCACAACGUGAUGACGACUUUUCCAACGUAGGAAGUGCUGUGGAUCCCCGCGAACCGCUCUGGAUUAUAAAGUUUAGUUUUAUUGUUUCUACUGGAUUUCUACAAACCCAUUAAUGUGAGGAAUCAGCUCUCUGGGACAUGAUGCAUGCAGGAUAUAUGAAGAACCAACUCUCAGCCAGGAAAACUGGUUCCAGCGCGGCACCAACUCUCUGCUGGUCCUGAACCGCAAACCGCUUACAACCGGAGCUGGGGGCGGGGCUACCUGACCAACAAGACCAACACGCCCCAUUGAAGGAGAUCAACUGAAACGUUUCGCUCUAGAGCAGGUGGAAAAGCAAACCGGUUCAGAGCUGGUUCGCAAGUUGAACCAACUGCGAACCAGCUCUGGAACUGCUUUUGUCGAAGAGGGCCGGGCUAUAAGAAGGGGUGUAACUCAAAAACCAUCCGACCCCUCCUCCAUCCAGCCAACAAAUACAUAGGCAGCCUGUUGACUGGUGUGUGUGUCCACUGACCCGUUAUGACCUGUCCUUUCAGGAGGCAACAAAGCCUCCAUAUUAGUCCAGUCCAGAGUGAAGUGGCUGCAGUAACUGCCUGCUCAUUAGAUUAAAUCAUUGUUUUUACU